rnacentral:rRNA from 1 species
UACGUAGGCGGAAAAUUAAGUCAGUAGUGAAAUCCUGCAGCUUAACUGUAGAACUGUUAUUGAUACUGGUUUUCUUGAAUAUAGUUGAGGUAGGCGGAAUGUGUAAUGUAGCGGUGAAAUGCUUAGAUAUUACACAGAACACCGAUUGCGAAGGCGGCUUACUAAGCUAUGAUUGACGCUGAGGUACGAAAGCGUGGGGAGCGAACAGGAUUAGAUACCCUGGUAGUCC